AGACUUGGACUGCAGAACCAUUUGAGUGCCUAGGUUAGCUCUAAUCCUUGUAACGAUCCUUUAGACUGGUGGUGUUAUUCUGUUCUACUUUAAAGGUAUGGAAACAAACUCAGAGGAAUUGACUUUGCCAAGCUAUCACAACUGGUAAGUAGUAGAACCCAGGACAGAAUCUAUAUCUGUCUGAUUCCUAUACCCAUGUUAUAGCUUCCUAGUUAACCUCCUCUAUAUACACUCCAAUUUGUCAGUGUCUCUUUUUAUAUGUGGCACCCCAAAAUGGACCCAGUACUCAACAAGCAGUCUGACCAGUAAAGAGAACACAAGAACUACAAACUGCCUCAUCUAGACUCAUAUUCUACUAAUUCAGCCAAGACCAUGUUUGCUUUACUGACAAUCUUGGUAUACUAUUGGCUUAAAUUGAGCUUAAAGGCAAUUAAGAUCCAUCCUUUACCCUCCCAAAUCAUCUUCAAAUAAAAUGUUAUAAAGACAGGUUUCCUAAAUCUAUACUUGGGUAACUAAGUUGCUGGGUAUUUUCCCCCCUUAAACACAGGACUUUAUAUUUGUCCCUGUUCUUUUCAGCUGAACAUUCCAGUCUGCUGAGAUCAUCUGCAGUCUUGAUACUGUCAUCGGUUAUUAGCUCUCUUUUCUAGCUUUGUGUCAUCUGCAUAUGUGACAAGCAUGCUUUCUACAUCUUCAUCCAAGUCACUGGGG